UAAUACGGAGGGUGCAAGCGUUACUCGGAAUCACUGGGCGUAAAGGACGCGUAGGCGGGUUGUCAAGUCAGGUGUGAAAUCCUACAGCUUAACUGUAGAACUGCACUUGAAACUGGCAACCUAGAGUAUGGGAGGGGAAGAUGGAAUUAGUGGUGUAGGGGUAAAAUCCGUAGAUAUCACUAGGAAUACCUAAAGCGAAGGCGAUCUUCUGGAACAUAACUGACGCUAAGGCGUGAAAGCGUGGGGAGCAAACAGGAUUAGAUACCCUGGUAGUCCACGCCCUAAACGAUGAACACUAGUCGUCGUGAUGCUUGUCAUUGCGGUGAUGCACUUAACAGAUUAAGUGUUCCGCCUGGGGAGUACGGUCGCAAGAUUAAAACUCAAAUGAAUUGACGG
rnacentral:rRNA from 1 species